CUCUGCAUAUCAUGUGACGUGAAGAAUUUAAACUACAUCAAUUUGAAAAUUCUUUAUCCAAACAUGAGAAUAUGAGAAGAAAUUUGUUGGUGGAUAAAAGAAAAGAUAAAGUUUGCUUGCAGUUUGCAUUUUGAAUAUAUAAAACCAUAACAAGGAGAGAAGAAACAGAGCUUGGUUAAAAUUCAUAUGGCCAUUAACGAAACAGAGAUUAGCAUGAAGCCCGAUGAAAAUGAAUACCGUUCUCUUCUGUACAUGGCGAACUUGACACUCCCCUUGGUAGUUUCAGGUUGUGGUGAUAACAGCAAAUAUGGAAUGUAAUGGUUGUAGGGGCAGAGUUUCCAGAGUUGUCUCAAAAAUGACUGGGUUGACAGAAUACACAAUAGAUGUGUCCAAGAAAGAAGUAACUCUUAAGGGAGAUUUCAUAGCACAUUGCAACUUCAAGGAUGAAAACCUUAGAAGCAUCACCCUGAAGAGCGCUACCAUUCGACUAAAGUCCAUGUUUUCAUGUUUAAAUAAUUUUGAUUAGCACUAGUGUAACAGAAAGUUAAUGUAUCUACAAAGAUUGAAAUACAAAGAUCGCUUUAUUCUUUCCCUCUUUUA